GUUUCACUUUCUGCAGGCUGUACAGACUGCUGCCGCGACGGCUGGCUAGGUGGCUCUAAAAGUUAAUGAAGUUUCCGUCUUCAGAAUUUGGAGAGAAUAGUAAACAAAUUAUGCUGUCACUCCUCCUGGAGUGCCCCGAGGGCUGUCACACCAAGCAAACACUUGAUGGCAUGUACAGGCAGAAGGAGCUGGAGAAAGAAUGACAUGCUGCUACACAUGCCUGCUCACAGAACCUGGGACCACUGUCACUUGGAUCAUGACCAACUACCAAGAUGGGAAGAAGGUUAGAACCAGCUGGCUGGAAGCCAAGUUGGAAGUUGACUUUAAGAUGGCGACAGGCUGUUGGAAAUAAACAAAUCAGCUCAUUUGGAUAGAGGAGUCUUGUGAUCCAACAUGACAGGUCGUUGUUCUCAUCCCGAGUCUCUCUCUGGGUUGCUGUGACAGCCACACACGGGAAAGUUUGUCAGUUCUAAAGUCUUCCAAAAAGACGUGAAGCCCUGCAUCAG
ensembl:lncRNA